UUAACACUUCAUGACUGAGAGCAGAACAGAACAGAAUCUUCAUCAUCACACAAGACAAAACAACAACAAUGAACAACAUCAUCAUCUUCAUCUGGACUCUCACACUGUUUGCUCAAGAGUGUAGAGGACAGUACACUGUAACUCAGAGUCCAUCAAUAACAACAGCUCUAGGACAAGAAGUCAGAAUAAACUGUAAAACCAGCAGUAGAGUGAAUAGUGGUAAUGACUUAGCCUGGUACUUACAGAAACCUGGAGAAGCUCCUAAACUCCUCAUAUUUUUGGCAACAAGCCGUUACACUGGAACUCCAUCUAGAUUCAGCGGCAGUGGAUCUGACACUGAAUUCACUCUGAAAAUCAGUGGAGUCCAAACUGAAGAUACAGGAGAUUAUUACUGUCAGAGUUACCACAGUGGUGGAGUGUUCACAUAG